rnacentral:lncRNA from 1 species
UCACAGCAUUUAUGACUAUUUGAAAUUAUAUUCCUUUACUUGUUUUGGUUAUCUUCCUUCUUAGAAUGUAAACUUUUAGACAAAAGUGGGCAUUUUGUUCUGUUCAAUGUAGCAUCCUCGCAUGAAGAACCGUAUCUGGUACAUAGUAAGUGCUCAACAAAUAUGUAUUGAUUGAAUGAAUCCAUCACAUCAGGCUUCUUGUUUAGUCUUUUUGUUUUUUUGUUGUUGUUAAAGAUUUUAUUUUAUUCAUGAGGAUACACAGAGAGGAGAGAGAGAGAGAGAGAGAGAGAGAGAGAGAGGGAGAGAGGCAGAGACACAGGCAGAAGGGAAGAGAUGAAGUAACCCUUCAGGAUCUACUAGAGAAAGACUAUUGGAAAUCCUAUAGGAGCUGCUGCCACCAAUGCACAAUUUUUGUUAAUUACCUCAAUUGUGGCUGUUAUCCCCUUAAUGAGAAACACAACUUUACUUCUAAGCAGGCAGUGAGGCUGGCAGAAAGCUGAAACCUGAAAAUCAGCAGAUACAGGGCUGCAUACAGACCUUACUAUUGAAAUUAAGCCACAUCCAAAACACAGGGGUAGGACUCCAAAUAGCUUCAGACAGCAGCCAGCCAUGCAGGGCCCUCACCAGGCACCGGAUGGACGCUCUCUGGACUCGUCAAGAGGCCCAGAUCCCAAGUGCUCAUUUCAAUAACAUAAGAAAAUAAACAUGGGGCUUAUUUAUAGCACAGGAAAGGGACUGGGGCAAAAGAACCACUCAUUUGGUAAUCCACCCUGACGGGGCCAGAUAGGAUCCAGACCCCCAGGCUCUCUGGUAACAGGGUGAGCAGAAAUAGGGGCCGGAAAAGGGCCGGCUGCCAGCAUCACCAGGUAUAACCUUGUAAAGGCCUUGGUUAAGAGAAGGGGAAAAGAUCUCAUACAUCAUUCCAUCUUACCAUACCAGGCCUAAGUGCUCUUGCUACCUUGUUUCUGGUUGAAGAAAUGAAGGGACAGGAGUGGACUCUCUCAAGGCCAAGGGAGUCUGAGUUCAAGGGAAGGUGCUAUGAGAAGAGGAAAUGAAAAUAUCCUUGUAUCCUCCAGGGACCAGAGAAGAUGGUGUUAACAGUCUUCAUUUACAGCUAGGAUAAAACGUAUGUGUCGAGUCCCAGGCCACUGACCGGCUCCCACCAUCUUACACACCUCAAGAACUCCCGCCAGAAUUGGAGCGCCUGGAACUCAGAACAGUAUCUUAUUCAACUCUCUAUUUCCUAGACCUGGCACAGAGUCUAGCAAAAAGUGUAUUUUGAUGAAUGAAUGAUUAGAAAACCCUAAUGACUGAAUAAAUGCUCUCUUAUCCCACCUGGGUCAGUAACUAGCCAGUUGUCCUUCAGUUGGCAUUGCCAGAAAGUGAGAUGCUCCUUGAGUUUAUUCUUGGGCAUAAUUUCUAGUGAUAUAAGUUGGUGGCUAUAAAUAAAAGCCCACGUAGACAUAUUCUGAAGGGAAGACUCUUAUGGUGGCUUCCAUAGGAAAACCCUCUAUACAGAGUGGCUGGUGGUUUGGGGCUAAGACAUAUGGAUUCCAGUCCCUGCUCUGUUGGCAGCUCUCACCCCAUGUGCAGCUCCUGAGAGGUUGCAGACAAGAUGGAGCUUUGCUGAGAAGCCUCUAGUAGACACAGCUGCCCGAGAGCUCUCAAGAGCCACGCAAGCAUCCUUCCCCUUCCUCCUCUUCUGCCUGACAGCUCUGUACCCUUUAGGGGGACCGGGAAGAAAUGCAACCAGGGGCCCAACCAGUGGGGAGUAGAAAAAAAAAAAGAAAAAACUACCCUGGAAAGGUUGUAAAUUUGUGGAAGCAAAAUACCAGACACAGAUGCUUGGUGACUCAACUGUUUCUUGAGAAUGAAAGAGGCCUGGAAAGUUGGGAGGGAGGGAGGAGGGGGAGGAGGGAGGGAGGGAGGGAGGGAGGGCCCCCCCCCCCCCCCCCCCCCCCCCCCGUCCUGUGUCGGCAGCAGUGGUGAGCCUGAAAUGAAAAAGCCAUGGCACAAAGGUACCUGUGCAGACCCACAGCCCUCCCUGGGAACCUGGAAGUCACAAAGCCUGAGGCUGAAAUCCCUGACAAGUCCAUCCAACUUUGACAAAGGUGGAUGAGAGGCUGUGGGCUGAAUUUAGAAUGUUCCCGCCAUAAAGGAAGGCGAAACCUUAAAACUGAGAGGACAGUCCUGCCUAACUUUGCUCCACCAGGAGGUCGAUGAAGCCUGUUCACAGAUUAUCAGGCCGUGCUUGGUUGGUUGGCACAACGGAGCCACAAGCUGUACCCGAUUUUACUCAGACACAGGAAAUGGUGGGUAUCUAAGCCCUGGAACAGGAGCCCCAGAGCUUAGAACUGAGCAGGGCUGAGGUGAGUAGACCAGCCCCUCGGUUUCAUUUGCCUGCAGGCCCUGCAGUGGAAAGCUCAAGUUGCUUCCAGAGUCUUCCUGGAUGGCAGCUGCCUGCCAAUACAGUGAGCACUCCUGCCAGAACACCUCCUCAGGAAAUGGCCGAAGAGGCUUCGGGCCAGUUUUGCACUCUGUCCCCGCCUCUCUGUGCCAGGGCUGCUUGGGGAGCAGCCUGCUGCAGCUGCUUCUGCUGCAACAGGCUACCUGGGCCACAAGAGACGGGAAAGGGAGCCUACCCCAAAAGAAGCUAACAGCCCCAGAGCAAGGGGGACCCAUCAGGCUCAGGAUGGGUGGCUGAUGGGAGACCUCCAAUAGCCCAAACCUCUCCCUCCCAGCUGGGCUCCCAUGGGACCCUCUGACUGGCCAGCCAUGAAGUGUCACCAGACUUGAGCCACUUUCCAAGUGGCCUCUGCCUUCAGCUACCUCUUAAUUCUACUGUCAAAGGGUCUUGAAUGUUACCCCAGCAAUCACAACUUUAGAAUCUGUGGCUAGGAACCUGUACCUCUCAGUGGUAGGAACAUUCCUGCCAGAGACCAUCCCAGGAGCUGCUGGGGGCACACAAUUAUUAGUGGCUCCUUCGGCAAAUGACAGUGAAGAGGCAGCUUGCCCUUUCCGGCUCCCAGUCCUGGUCAGCACACACCAGUAUGAUGCUCACUCCCUUUCAAAGACAGCGGAGAAACUAGCCCCCAAAACCACAAGUUGGCAGCACAGUUGGAAGUACAUAAGGCCUUGGCAGAGAAGCCAGGUAGUCGGAGUCUUGAACUUCAUGACACUGAGUAUGGAGAAGAGACAGUAUCGUAUCGCAUCAUUUGCAGGAAAGAACCAGAGGUUCUGAGAACAGAAGUUGUUAUUUUCCUCUAAUUUUCCUUGAGAAGGAGGUUCUUGCCUAAACACGUGUAAGGCUUGCUAAAUACACGAGAUAAGAAUAUUAAGAACUAUGUGAUGGUAACCAGUGAAAAAGUGUUUCCAACCUGCAUUCCAAGCUGGCUCAUCCCAAUUAGGUCCCUGGGGGCAAAGGCAAGUGACUCAGUGCACAUUUGGGCCAGGGCCAGGGCCAGCUCAGGUUCAUCUUCUGUACAGGCCAGCAGGAUGCAAUUUCUUAAAAAAGAUUUCUUAAUCUAAAACCAGCUGUUGUCUGUUGUAGGCCAGAACAUGACAUUUUAAUUAGCAUUAUUGUUCCGCUUCUGAAACCAGGCUCUAUGGCAUCCCAAGGGCAGAUGAUCCCAGCCCAAGCUUAUGGGUGAGGCUUGCUGGUGAGCAGCUUAGAAAUACAGAGAAGGGCGUGGAGUCCCCAGCCCCCUCGGAAUCCAUGAAUCAUGACUGCUUGCUAUAUUCCUGCCCUGAAUUUCUCCUUGUGACCUGCACCACCUGUCUGUCCAUAGGUAGAAACUUUGAGGUUUCAAGUGCCUGGGAUACAAAUACUCAUUCCAUACUGCAAGUCGUUUCAUGCUAUGUUGCUGGAUCUAAUCUGCAAUACUUCUGGGGGUUGUGAGGCGCCUUACAUGGAGUUUUAAUGCCCUGAGAAGUCCAGUGACUCCUAAGAAGGUGACAAAGUCCUACUAACACAGCUACCAGGGGCUCCCAAUCAUCUUGGAUUGAAGUGUUCCUCUUCCAAAACCAAAGGGCUAACAGAGUUUUUAAAAAAGAAAAGAGAAAGAAAACAUUUGUCCUCAGAGAGGGAAACCUGGAUUACACACCAGCCACUAAGGCAGUGGAUUCAGUGACGUGAAUAAGAGCAGAAAAUCUCAGGGGGUGAGGCUGAGGGGACGACACGCAUACAACGUUGGCACCGUUCUCAGCUGCCAGCAGGGAUUUAAAUGUGAGGACCAACCCCACCACCCACCCUGAAUCUUGGAAAACAAGCUAGGGAAGGAGGGCAGUACUCACUGUCUGUGACAACAGAAAGCCCCUUCUCUUGGUUUCUAUCCUACCACCCCCAGGAUUAUGACUAUGAGACUCAGUGCCUUCCCGUGUCCCCUCCUGGCCAGAAUAUAAUUAUUCAAAUCAACAGUAUUUAUUGGGCACCAGUGUUUGAAUGCAGCACGGUGGACAUAUCACAGCUUCCGUGUCCACACCUACAGCCUCGACGGGGAGAUGGCAUUUCGUCCUUUCUAACACAACAGUCCAAUGUUCUCACAUCUCAUUGUGAGAGAAGAUGAAACUCUCAUGAUUCCUGUUUUUCAAUUCUGCUACUUCUUAAAGUUUGUUUUGACCUCUCAAAGUCUAUGGGAACACGUCUGAAGUGACUCUUGUUAAAACUACGAGUUUAAAAUCUAUAGCAUAGUAACUAUUCACCUUCGUGUCACUCGAGAACAAUGGGUGGUGUAUUAGUGACUUCGACUGGCACACAGCUAGGUUUCAGUAAUUAUAACCAUAUUCCAAGCAAAUUGUUAUGUAUUUUGUGUUCUGGGGACAUAUGUUAUGGCUAAAGCCCAAACUGUGGCUAAUCUUAAUAUUAGAGCCAGAUAAAUCUGGUUCGAAUCCAUAACAUCUAACAUUUGCCAGAGUAGAUUUGUUCAUCAACGGGGCUUAAAGAGGUAUAAUUCACACAUGUGCAGUAUUACUAAAUGCUGAAAUUUAACGAUUUAAAUAUACCGGCAACUAUUGCAAAGCAGUUGUUAUAGUCGCAUUUAACAUUAGCCAGAACCUCCCUGGCUAACAUUAAGUUUACAUCGAAAGAAUGAGGGAAAUUUUGGCAUCCCCUUGGGGUGGGGGUCACAACUCCCUCGACAUUUACAACAUGGCACCAGCUAGAGCAUCAGAGUAUGGCUAGUAGAGGCCCUGUGCUUUCCCAGAGAACACCUAUAAAAAAAUCCAUUCAUCUAAUCAAGAAGCAAACAGAUUCCCUUGGAGGUUUUCGAAGACAUCUUCUCUUAGAAUGUUUAUGGUUUGGGGAUGUUCUACUUGAUGCACAUGACACCAGAUAUUUAUCCUGGCUCCAUAUCCUCCCAGACACGGACGGUAGACUGGAAUUAACCAGAAGAUGGAGGUAAAUAUAUUAAAAAAAAAAAAAAAAAAGAAAGAAAGAAAAAAAGAAAAAAAA